UACGAGCAAUGCUUAAAACCCAAAGGAUUUGACGGUGUCCCACCCCACUAGAGGAGCCUGUUCUAUAAUCGAUGAUCCCCGCUUCACCUAACCAUCCCUCGCCUACCAGUCUGUAUACCUCCGUCGAAAGCUUACCAUGUGAACGCCCGCAGUAGGCUUAAUGAUUCACCAUCAACACGUCAGGUCAAGGUGCAGCUUAAGGAAUGGAAAGCAAUGGGCUACAAUUUCUAACUUAGAACAAACGAAAGACUAUGUGAAACCCUAGUCAUGAAGGUGGAUUUAGUAGUAAAAAGAAAGUAGAGUGUUCUUUUUAACCCGGCUCUGGGACGCGUACACACCGCCC
rnacentral:rRNA from 1 species